UACGUAGGGGGGCAAGCGUUGUCCGGAUUUACUGGGCGUAAAGAGCGUGUAGGCGGCCAAGCAGGUCCGUUGUGAAAACUGGAGGCUUAACCUCCAGACGUCGACGGAAACCGCGUGGCUAGAGUCCGGAAGAGGAGAGUGGAAUUCCUGGUGUAGCGGUGAAAUGUGCAGAUAUCAGGAAGAACACCAAUGGCGAAAGCAGCUCUCUGGGACGGUACUGACGCUGAGACGCGAAAGCGUGGGGAGCGAACAGG
rnacentral:rRNA from 1 species